GCUGUUCACUAAUGCUGUUCAAAGGUUGGUGGAAUAUAUAUUAGUUUAUAAAUAAAUUUUUUCCCGUACUUUUAUAAAUAAAUUAAUUUUGGUUAUUUAUUACAUUAUUCAUUGAUGAAGCCAAUAAAUUAUAUCUAUUAAUUACAAAAACAAAAAUUUAAGAGUAAAACAGAUUAAAAAUGAAAGAAAUAAAAAUUUUGAAAGUAAUAAACUAAAAUAAAAUGUCGAAAAUGCACAUAAAUAUUCAUAUACAUUCAUGAGGUUAUUUUUUUUUAUAAGUAAGAAAUUUUAUUAAAUAAAAUCAAAAUCAGAUAAAUUUUAAAUUGAAGUUAUUUAACCUUGAAGAAAAUAGGGAAUAAGUGAAAUUCACAUCAAUUUUUUUUAUGAAAGUAACUUGACAAAAGCCCGUAGUGAUUGAUAAAUUUGAAUGGUUG
rnacentral:misc_RNA from 1 species